GAUGAAGAACGUAGCGAAAUGCGAUAAGUAAUGUGAAUUGCAGAAUUCAGUGAAUCAUCGAAUCUUUGAACGCACAUUGCGCCCCCUGGAAUUCCGGGGGGCAUGCCUGUUCGAGCGUCUCAGGGACGAACCCUCGCGCGGGUGUACGCGCGGUCGUGGCUGCGGUGGCGUGCCCGAGGCGGCGGCCACCGCGCUGGGAUCCAUGGGCGGACGCCUGCCGCGUGGCCGAGCGUGAUAUGACGCAUUGGCGCUCGCACGCGGAGAGGCUGCCAGCCCUGGCCCGUCUGUCGGGCGGGGGAGAGCAAGACACGUGAACUCCUCGAAUCAGGUAGGGAUACCCGCUGAACUUAAGCAUAUCAAUAAGCGGAGGA
rnacentral:misc_RNA from 1 species